rnacentral:rRNA from 1 species
AACGAACGCUGGCGGCGUGCCUAACACAUGCAAGUCGUGCGAGAAAGUUCCUUCGGGAGCGAGUAAAGCGGCGCACGGGUGAGUAACACGUAGGUAACCUGCCCCCCAGUCUGGAACAACUAGAGGAAACUCUAGCUAAUGCCGGAUGAGACCACGAUCCCUUCGGGGGUUGCGGCCAAAGAUGGCCUCUACUUGUAAGCUAUCGCUGAGGGAUGGGCCUGCGGGCCAUUAGCUUGUUGGUGAGGUAACGGCUCACCAAGGCUGUGAUGGCUAGCUGGUCUGAGAGGAUGACCAGCCACACUGGGACUGAGACACGGCCCAGACUCCUACGGGAGGCAGCAGUGGGGAAUAUUGCGCAAUGGCCGAAAGCCUGACGCAGCGACGCCGCGUGGGUGAUGAAGGCC